UAAAAUAUUUCGGUAAGUGCACAUGAAUAUUGUCUUAUGUGUCAACAACACUUCACUUCACCUCAGCGCCUCAGCGUUGGAGAGGAAUACUAUGUUGUGUUCGUAUUUCAGCUUACAGAUCAGACGUUACUACGUAAAAUCCAAGUCAAAUAAUUGCAAAAAUUCACAAAAAUAACAAAAAAACUUAUUGUAGCCGGCCAAAACUUGAUACGAAUGUACAAUUUUAUCAGUAAGUAUUUUCUCUAUGUUUUCCUUGUGACGGUGUUGGUUGGUGACUUGGUGUGAGUGGGUGGGUCAGGAUAUAUCGAAUCUAUAUCGCUCCUUUCGUGACGUCAACACUCAUUGUGAAUCUAACAUGGCGGUCGUUGUUGGUUGUUUAUGAUAGGUAUCUCACGGACUCUGACUACAAUUUUAUUUUAAAGUUGGUGAAAUUAGUCUAAUUAAUAUUCUAAAGGGACUUUUCAAGUGCUCAUGUGUGUGUCAUAACUCCGUUUGUUCUUCAACUACUCUCCCAGUGCCAGUGAUCUCGAUCAGAUUUCACGGAUUCUGUUCCGAACGCUCCUAAAGUACACGAAAAAUUAUGUUUACGUUAUUUUGAUAGGGUGGCUCUAACCAGACACAGGUUCUUAUGUCCUUGCCAGCAACCACCAACUCGUUCACCGAGAUCUCUUAGUGUAUUCAUAACAAUGGAGCGUUUAUUGCUAUGAUAGCAAACCAACCUCUUAUCACUUUCCGCUGAAGAUGUCCAAAACUACAACAAAAUCCUAUGGGCGUGGAAAGUAUUCCAACCAUCCCAACACUGCGCUGCAAACAAGUAUACAGUUCGACAAAGCAGCAAGUGCCAAAACCAAUAAACCAACGGCGGCAAAAUCCACCGGCACGGUUGGAAAAUGGGGAAUAACAUCUUUCACAUCCAUUCGCAGCGUUAAUCCUACUGGAUCAAAAUUCACUGUCGGGAAACGAGAUGCUCGGAAGGAAGCAGAAAAGAGGCAAGGAGCUAAAAAUGAAGUGAUUCCUGAAGUGCCACCUGCACCUCGACCGAAGAAGUUUUUCAAGAGUCGGAACCAAGGGGACUCAGCAUCUCAGGAAAAAGCGUACCAGUCUACCUCAAGUUACUCGGCAUCAUCUGCUAGAAAGUUGUCUCCUUCAAAAGAUAGGCAAUCAGAACUGAUACGAUCAAAUGAUGAAGGAAAGAAAGAAAAUUCAUCGAGGAGGGAGUCUGUCGAGCAGACAGAAGCGAUGAACUUGUCUUCUUCCCCGACCAAAACCACACCAGAGCGAGAUGCAAGCAAACCACCCAUCGUUCUCCGAAUUUUAAAGGAACAUCUCAGUUACUAA
rnacentral:lncRNA from 1 species